GAUGCCUUCUGGGGAUUGUGUGCUGCUCUGCUUGUGGCUGUCUUAAACCUCGACUCAUAUCAUGUCUACACACUGUCUUAUGGAUGUGGAAUCAUGGUGUUUGCAGUUCGAGGAGCCAAGCGGAAAUACAGCUUUCUAUGGGACAUAAGAGAAAGGUGGUGACCCAGGUGGCAAAGCCAUGCCGUUGUCAACUGUAGAAGACUCAGUAAAUGGGCAAUGGCUUUUACUGUGCUACCUGCAAGGUCAUAUUGCAGAGCUGCCAUUAGACAAACAGAUGUCUGAUAUAUUCCGACUAGUACUGUCUGCUGAUAGGAUCUCAGCGUAAACAUGGUGACCAAUGGACCAACUCUGCUCGGUCAUCUGUCGGAAUCUUUCACGAUCAAAUCUGGAUACUCACUGUGGGUGUUAGUUCUGAUCAGAAUCAAAAAUGAAGAGAAACCUGCUGCAAUUCUAAUCAUAUUCAAACUAACACUCUACGAAUAUAUUAAAGUUUAACUUAUUGUUUUAUCUAUUUAGAAUUGAUUUAGAAUGAAUUC